rnacentral:rRNA from 1 species
UACAGAGGUCUCAAGCGUUGUUCGGAUUCAUUGGGCGUAAAGGGCGCGUAGGCGGCCAGCACAAGUCAGUUGUGAAAUCUCCGAGCUUAACUCGGAAAGGUCAACUGAUACUGUGCGGCUAGAGUGCGGAAGGGGCAACUGGAAUUCUUGGUGUAGCGGUGAAAUGCGUAGAUAUCAAGAGGAACACCUGCGGCGAAGGCGGGUUGCUGGGCCGACACGUGACGCUGAGGCGCGAAAGCCAGGGGAGCGAACGGG